rnacentral:piRNA from 1 species
UGAUAAGCUUAGGAAUGCUAUACUUA